GAUGGAAGAUAGAUGCAUGGUUUGCAUGGAACAUAUGAUAUGCUCAGAAAUCAAUUAGGACGCACCUGAUAUAACUCCUUGAUGAUGUGUGUCGUAUGGAAUCUUGCUUCGGUUCGUUUCUAGACUGUGUUAGUUUUGGUAGAAGAUAUGUGCACGGUUUACGUCAAAUGCACCAUAGGCUAUGAAACCAUUUUAGACGCACCC
rnacentral:lncRNA from 1 species